ensembl:lncRNA
GUGAAGAAGAGAAAUGGGAGAGGGCUAAGUAAUGUUUUAAGAGAAUAAUAUAAACUGACUGCUGUAAAAAUACUGCGCCAUGAAAUUGUCCAUUAUAAAUUGCUUAUAGCAAAGUAUACAGAACAGGAGAUAUUGAGCAGAAAGUGGGAGGAAGUUACAGAGAAGAUGACAAUUGCUUCUUACUGCCAGGGCCUUCUUCAUGUUGAUAUGGGAUAUUCGUUGAAGAGGAAACACCAAGAGGGCAGACAGCUGCAGGCCAAGGAACUGAAUCCAUCUGGAAAGCUGCAGGAGACAGUACAGGAAGGGCAAAGGACCUGGCAACCUUGGAGAAGGUUGAGUUCUGACUGUUCAGGAGAGCGAAUAGAGAGUUGGGAGGGGAAGGUAAUGCUGUAACCCGUGAAUACUGGGAAUGUUUGCCAGGUGCCCUACAAUGUGGUCAUCCCAGUUUGCUGUCUCUUCAAAAUACUUCAGUAAAUG